CUGCAGAAAACACUGUAUUUUCAAGUUAAUUCUAAUGGCCCUUUUCACUCACGGCUUUCAGGAGAAGUUUUUUUUUUUAUCCUUCAAGAUUCCCCUUUCUGCAAAUAUCAAAAAACUUUGUCAACUAUACUCCAAAAGCAGGUGAAGCGGUGCACUACCGGCAUUUGUGGGAAGUAUCAAAUACCGACGAAAAUCGUUUGGUCAAUAUAUAUGUAUAUAUAUAUAUAUGAUCCAGGAAGGAUCGAGUAAGCAAGAGCAACUAAGCGCGAGGACAAAAACGAUAUACCCGGGAACCGGCUCGCAAUUUCCAACGUGGGCCCGGAUUGGCCCUCUCGACGGCUCGGAUUUUCAGCAUUGGCUGCGGGAAUUUUUAAGAGAUCCUUGAAAGAACGCGAGAGUUUAUUGUGGGACCCCACCACCAUCGCCAAGGCCCUCCGGGGACCGCGCACACUAUACUCCAUGGGAUCCACACCGAUCCCUUUUUCAAUGUUGCUGAGAUUGCAUCCAGGAGUGUGUAAAAAAAAAGUUAAUUAUAAUGAAAACUACUAUCAACUCUCUUUUCCAAAUGAAUAGGAGAAAAAAUCUUCAAUAUCAAGUAAGAAUAGAAACAUUUUAAAUUAAUAAAAUUUAAAUUAAAAAAAUUAAUAAUAAUAUAAUAAAAAUAAUAAUAAUAUAAUAAAAAUAAUAAUAAUAUAAUGAAAAUAAAAAUAAAAUAAUAAGAAGAAGUUAGUAUAACAAAAUCUUUUUGAAUUCUAAAAAAAAAAAAAACUUUGCCUUUUUUUAAAAUGCCUUUCACUUUUUUGUGGUCUGAGGUCACUAUUGUCAAAAAAAAGAAGAAAAAGAAGAAGAAAAAUCUCAUAAAAGCCCAACAGUGAUUUUUUAGGCAAUUGAAAGAUUUAGAUUUGUAGGUAACAUCUGUUGAUGUUUGACCAGACCCAAUGCAGACAAUCAAAAUACCUGUGACUUCCACCUGACUAACCUUUUACAAAUUCUAAAGAAUCUAAAAGUAAAC